CCACUCUUCCUCGAGUCUCCAUCAGUCGUCGUUGGUUCCCGCCGCCGCUGAUUACAGAUAUGCAGGCACUAGAUAGAGUGCGGCCUGGACCCGAUGUGGAUACCCAGUUGGCCCAGCAGCCGAAUCAUCGGUCAAGUCCGCUUUGGAGGUGCGCCGCUGACGAGGAGGCGCCUGGCAUGAUAAAGGUUCGACGCCGUAAAUGUGUAUUGCCACAGGGUGGGCUAGAUCCACGUAUCAUGCAACACAUAGAUGCAGCAGGGUUGACUGGUUUAUUCAAGGUUCCUGAUAUGGAGGUCGACCACGCCUUGAUCACGGCGUUGGUUGAGCGGUGGCGU